UACGGAGGAUGCGAGCGUUAUCCGGAUUUAUUGGGUUUAGAGGGUGCGCAGGCGGAUUUUUAAGUCAGCGGUCAAAUCGUGGGGCUCAACCCCAUCCAGCCGUUGAAACUGGGGAUCUAGAGUGUGCGAGAGGUAUGCGGAAUGCGUGGUGUAGCGGUGAAAUGCAUAGAUAUUAGGAGGAACACCAGAGGCGAAGGCGGCUAACUGGACUGUAACUGACGCUGAGGCACGAAAGUGUGGGGAGCAAACAGG
rnacentral:rRNA from 1 species